rnacentral:rRNA from 1 species
CUACGGGCUGCAGCAGUGGGGAAUAUUGGACAAUGGGGGAAACCCUGAUCCAGCAAUGCCGCGUGUGUGAAGAAGGCCUGCGGGUUGUAAAGCACUUUCGGUUGGGAGGACUGCUUCUAGCACUAAUAUUGUUGGAAGUUGACGUUACCUUCAGAAGAAGCACCGGCUAACUCCGUGCCAGCAGCCGCGGUAAUACGGAGGGUGCAAGCGUGAAUCGGAAUUACUGGGCGUAAAGCGCGCGUAGGCGGCUAGAUCAGUCGGGUGUGAAAGCCCCGAGCUUAACCUGGGAACUGCAUCCGAUACUGUCUAGCUUGAGUACAGGAGAGGAGAGUGGAAUUCCACAUGUAGCGGUGAAAUGCGUAGAUAUGUGGAGGAACACCAAUGGCGAAGGCAGCUCUCUGGCCUGAUACUGACGCUGAGGUGCGAAAGCGUGGGGAGCAAACAGGAUUAGAUACCCGUGUAGUC